UGGGGAAUAUUGGACAAUGGGCGAAAGCAUGAUCCAGCCAUGCCGCGUGUGUGAAGAAGGUCUUCGGAUUGUAAAGCACUUUAAGUUGGGAGGAAGGGCAGUAAGCGAAUACCUUGCUGUUUUGACGUUACCGACAGAAUAAGCACCGGCUAACUCUGUGCCAGCAGCCGCGGUAAUACAGAGGGUGCAAGCGUUAAUCGGAAUUACUGGGCGUAAAGCGCGCGUAGGUGGUUCGUUAAGUUGAAUGUGAAAGCCCCGGGCUCAACCUGGGAACUGCGUCCAAAACUGGCGAGCUAGAGUAGGGCAGAGGGUGGUGGAAUUUCCUGUGUAGCGGUGAAAUGCGUAGAUAUAGGAAGGAACACCAGUGGCGAAGGCGACCACCUGGGCUCAUACUGACACUGAGGUGCGAAAGCGUGGGGAGCAAACAGG
rnacentral:rRNA from 1 species